rnacentral:rRNA from 1 species
GACGAACGCUGGCGGCGUGCUUAACACAUGCAAGUCGAACGGAAAGGCCCUGCUUUUGUGGGGUGCGCGAGUGGCGAACGGGUGAGUAACACGUGAGUAACCUGCCCUUGACUUUGGGAUAACUUCAGGAAACUGGGGCUAAUACCGGAUAGGAGCUCCUGCUGCAUGGUGGGGGGUGGAAAGUUUCGGCGGUUGGGGAUGGACUCGCGGCUUAUCAGCUUGUUGGUGGGGUAGUGGCUUACCAAGGCUUUGACGGGUAGCCGGCCUGAGAGGGUGACCGGCCACAUUGGGACUGAGAUACGGCCCAGACUCCUACGGGAGGCAGCAGUGGGGAAUAUUGCACAAUGGGCGGAAGCCUGAUGCAGCAACGCCGCGUGCGGGAUGACGGCCUUCGGGUUGUAAACCGCUUUCGCCUGUGACGAAGCGUGAGUGACGGUAAUGGGUAAAGAAGCACCGGCUAACUACGUG